rnacentral:lncRNA from 1 species
GACUCGGAUGCAGGCUCGAGUAUCCGGGCAAGGUGAGAGCAGUGGGAGUAGCAAGAGAUCCGAUCCAGCUCCAAGGGAGUCCAGGAGGAGAACGAUGAGCAGGAGGCCAGGCAGGGUCAGAGUCCGUGUGCAGACAAACUGGGGACACCGACUGCACGGAUCAGGCUUUGCUCAAACUGACGCCUUCAUCCACUUUUCUUCCAACAAGGCCAAAAGAAAACAAUCUUAUUGCUCCACCGCUGACUCCACACAACACUCCUCCCUCUCAAAGCACUCCGCUGAACCGGCCCUGCACUCUGACAGCCCCAGCCCCCCCCACGGUAUGUUGUUGUGA